UACGUAGGGGGCAAGCGUUGUCCGGAUUUAUUGGGCGUAAAGAGCGUGUAGGCGGCUUGGUAGGUCCGCUGUGAAAACUCGAGGCUCAACCUCGAGAUGUCGGCGGAAACCACUUGGCUAGAGUCCGGCAGAGGAGAGUGGAAUUCCUGGUGUAGCGGUGAAAUGCGCAGAUAUCAGGAAGAACACCUAUGGCGAAGGCAGCUCUCUGGGACGGUACUGACGCUGAGACGCGAAAGCGUGGGGAGCGAACAGG
rnacentral:rRNA from 1 species